rnacentral:rRNA from 1 species
UACGUAGGGUGCAAGCGUUAAUCGGAAUUACUGGGCGUAAAGCGUGCGCAGGCGGUUUUGUAAGACAGGUGUGAAAUCCCCGGGCUUAACCUGGGAACUGCAUUUGUGACUGCAAGGCUGGAGUGCGGCAGAGGGGGAUGGAAUUCCGCGUGUAGCAGUGAAAUGCGUAGAUAUGUGGAGGAAUACCGAUGGCGAAGGCAGCCCCCUGGGAUGAUACUGACGCUCAUGCACGAAAGCGUGGGGAGCGAACAGG